GAUGAACGCUGGCGGCGUGCUUAACACAUGCAAGUCGAACGAAGCACUUUAUUUGAUUUCCUUCGGGACUGAUUAUUUUGUGACUGAGUGGCGGACGGGUGAGUAACGCGUGGAUAACCUGCCUUGUACAGGGGGAUAACAGUUGGAAACGGCUGCUAAUACCGCAUAAGCGCACAGCAUCGCAUGAUGCAGUGUGAAAAACUCCGGUGGUAUAAGAUGGACCCGCGUUGGAUUAGCUAGUUGGUGAGGUAACGGCCCACCAAGGCGACGAUCCAUAGCCGACCUGAGAGGGUGACCGGCCACAUUGGGACUGAGACACGGCCCAAACUCCUACGGGAGGCAGCAGUGGGGAAUAUUGCACAAUGGGCGAAAGCCUGAUGCAGCGACGCCGCGUGAGCGAAGAAGUAUUUCGGUAUGUAAAGCUCUAUCAGCAGGGAAGAUAAUGACGGUACCUGACUAAGAAGCACCGGCUAAAUACGUG
rnacentral:rRNA from 1 species